UCUCUCUUCACCAUGUGAGGACACGGCAAGAAGGUGGCCAUCUGCAAGCCAGGUGCCUUGACCUUGGCCUUCUCAGCUUCCAGAACUAGGGAAAAUACACGUCUGUGGUUUAAGCCACCCAGUCUGUGGUGUGUCAUUACAGCAGCCUGAGCUAAGACGGAGCCUCUUUGAAAUGACGACUUUGAGGAGAGACCUGGAGAAAGUGAAGAGGGGAGCAAGUGAACGUGUGGAGGAAGAACAUUCUAGACAAAGGGGCAAAGGCCAAGGCCCUGAGCCCCCUCUCCUCCGGCUGGCCCGCACUGAGGAGAGCCCAUCAUGGGGCCCAAGGGGAGCCACUGCAAGAGGCUCGGGAAGCAACUUCUCUGGGGCCCUUGCUUUAGAGCAAUGGUCAGCAAACAGAGACAAUACUCCCAUUCCAUGGAGGCAUUAGCUGAUGUCUGGAGACAUUUUUGUGUGUCCCCACUGGGGCAGUGCUACUGACAGCUAGUAGAGGCCAGAGGUGCUGCUAAACCUGCAUUACACAGGACAGUCCCCCAAAGCAGGAAUCCCCUGAAUCAUCCGUCCCAACAUGUCGGCAGUGCCAAGACUGAGAAGACCUGCUUUAGAGACACC
rnacentral:lncRNA from 1 species